ensembl:lncRNA
GUACCACACAAGCAGUCUCGUAUGUGGUGAUGCAUACGGUUCCUGCAUGCAAACACACACACGUCAGACCAGUCGAUAUUAAAACAAACAAAACAACAACAAAAAACUACACAUUUGUGUGGUAAUUUUUGCACUGACAUUCAGAAGUACAGUUUGAUUUGUGCAAACAAGAAGACAUUGUCUCUCCAGAUAAGUAAUUGCAGUAUCGCCGUAUAAGCAAAUCUCUCUCUGUGCCUAACCUCGCAGUGGCACAAUUUCACUCUUAUUAAGAAAAUCUGCAUUUAGGAGGGACCAAUGCUAUCAGUCGAAAUUAAUCUGCUUUGACUGAUCCUUAAUGUGACCACAGUCAUCGAGUAAUUAUUGUCUGGAUGGCUGUGCACCAGGCUCAUAACCGCCAUCCUCCUUCUCCUCCUCCUCCUGCCCCCCACAAAAGGGGCUAGCCUUGGUGUGUGAAUCCCUCAGCAGCGGGCUGGUUACAGUGGGUACGGCAGGCAUGUCAUUAAGCGCUUGAUCAGUGAGUCGUGAUUAGCCUGCCCUGUAUUAUUGUGAUUAACGUCUAUCCAGCGGACGACUGUCCCGUUGUCACCAGUGAUACCAUCUGAGAUCCUGAGAUUCUCGGGUGAAGGCCAGUGGAGGAACCUGGUAGUGUGGAUACACAAAUCUGUUCGCUUCAAUGAAGGCUGCUCCUCUUAAAUGCACACGCACCAAAAAAAACAAAACAACAAAAAACCCCACACACACCCUGUCAGUCACGAAAACGAAUGCAUUUAACGAGUGCAGCACUCUCUCCCCGUGCAGCUAUGUUUUGUCUGUGUGUCUUCUCUGAUUAGUUAACCCACUACCUCUUGUGCAGCUUGCAUGCUCUAUAGCAUUUCCAUCAGGCCACAUGCCUUUUGUCUGCGUGCGCGCUGAAAGACAAAAACCUCCUCUUCCUAUUGUGCUCCAUUUCUCUCUUUCAUCUCGUACUUCCUCGACCAACAAAGUCGAUUUGACCACGGCUGAUUAUUGUAACGAAGGCAGUCCAAGAGAAUAUGCACAUUCUCACUGUACGUCAGAUUCGAUCACAGCAAGGGGGGGAAGCCUCGCACUGACCCACGUCUCUUCCCCUCAGACAACUGGCUGCUUACACAGAGGGAGCUUUUGAGAACAGGCGCUGUGGACUGAACUGCAAUCGAAGUCUCACUUAUGCGGCGCUAAGGACACGGAAAGACAGUGGGAGGAAAUUGUUUUAAAUUAGGAAUUGAUAUAAGAAUGUGGCAAAAAGAAAAAGAAGAGGAAAACUAGUGCUAAACUGUGCCACACGAGAAACGGAGAUCAGACUACUUCUCUUUUUGUGCAUUUUAAAAGCAGCUAAAUAUAUAAAUACUUAAUAUAGUUCAGAUGUAUUCCCUGUAGCUUGGAUUUCAUGUUUUUUUUGUUUGUUUUUUUUAAUUCCCAAAAGUUUCAUUGAGCUUUUUCUUCACGAGCCCCUGUAUGCGUGUUUCAUUUCUUUGUAAUUACUCACCUAAACCCAGACCCUCUUCUCGUGGCUCUUGUGCUUCCGCCGGUGGAAAAGAGUCAGUUUUGAUUACAAAGUAAACGCUGCGGCAUCAGACAGGGGGGUUACAUGCUGAUAUGCAUUCUAUCAGGAUGAUUUAUGCAAAUUAUGCACAUUAUUCCCGCAGGAAUCUCUCUUCUGAAAGUGCCAGGAUAAAUUGCCGGAAAUUAGCCAUAAAAUUCACUGUGCAGGGAGUGUGAGGUGAAGGCCGCCAAGGAGCCAAGGACAUUGGGCCGCCAUGGUUACGCUUGGCCUGGCCUGCCUCCCCCAUGCUUGGCAUUCAUGGCUGUUAAAGACCUCUGCUCAGACAGAUAUACUGAAGCCUGGAGUGGCACUCAGCACAUCAGGAAGAUCAGCCAAGCAAGUGUUACACUAACGGCGGGGUUUCAUGCUCUAGUAACGUGACAGAUUUUUCAAAGGGAGGGAACGAGAUUGUUGGUUUAUUCUUCCCACGUUUUAGGCCGAAACCCACUUUGUAAAUUCUUCUGUGUUCCUAGAAAGUGGCAGCGCGUUAUCAUUGAGUAGCUGGCCUCAGAUCCAGUCACCGUUUGAACUGUUUUAUG